GGCAAGUAUAUUGUCCAUAUGUGCCAAAGUGGCCUGAGCUAAAAAUGAAGAUCUGUCCCUCAAUUUCAGUUCUUGAAAACUUUUGUAUUUUUCAUUCUUAUAACAACAGGUGAAGUAACAAGAGGGCCACAUUCAGAGGCAAGAACUUUCAGAGAGGAGCAGAAGGCAACAUAAAGCAGCUGCAAGAAUUAAUUCACGGAGAUAGUUGACAUUUUCGAGCUGACUGCCUCUUAGAGAAAAUGAUGUCAUCCCCCAGCAGCCUAAUGACAGUCAUCAUCCUGAGAGGACACGUGCUAAUAGGUUCAUUGCUCACCUACUUUUCUUUUGUGUUUGGCCAGGGUGUCCUUUGGAUGCUCAUAAUUUGGCAUUGUGCUUCUAGAAUAAUCUCUAAGAGGCACUGGAGCAUGAAACUCAAUAAAUGA